UACGAAGGGUGCAAGCGUUACUCGGAAUUACUGGGCGUAAAGCGUGCGUAGGUGGUUCGUUAAGUCUGAUGUGAAAGCCCUGGGCUCAACCUGGGAACUGCAUUGGAUACUGGCGAUCUGGAGUGCGGUAGAGGGUGGCGGAAUUCCCGGUGUAGCAGUGAAAUGCGUAGAUAUCGGGAGGAACAUCCGUGGCGAAGGCGGCCACCUGGACCAGCACUGACACUGAGGCACGAAAGCGUGGGGAGCAAACAGGAUUAGAAACCCGAUAGUCC
rnacentral:rRNA from 1 species